rnacentral:rRNA from 1 species
UACGAAGGGGGCUAGCGUUGUUCGGAAUUACUGGGCGUAAAGGGCGCGUAGGCGGCGUGUCAAGUCAGGCGUGAAAGCCCCGGGCUCAACCUGGGAACCGCGCUUGAGACUGGCAUGCUCGAGUUCGGGAGAGGAUGGUGGAAUUCCCAGUGUAGAGGUGAAAUUCGUAGAUAUUAGGAAGAACACCAGUGGCGAAGGCGGCUCACUGGUCCGGUACUGACGCUGAGGUGCGAAAGCGUGGGGAGCAAACAGG